AUUGAACGCUGGCGGCAGGCCUAACACAUGCAAGUCGAACGGUAACAGGAAGAAGCUUGCUUCUUUGCUGACGAGUGGCGGACGGGUGAGUAAUGUCUGGGAAACUGCCUGAUGGAGGGGGAUAACUACUGGAAACGGUAGCUAAUACCGCAUAACGUCGCAAGACCAAAGAGGGGGACCUUCGGGCCCCCUGCCCUCGGAUGUGCCCAGAUGGGAUUAGCUAGUAGGUGGGGUAACGGCUCACCUAGGCGACGAUCCCUAGCUGGUCUGAGAGGAUGACCAGCCACACUGGAACUGAGACACGGUCCAGACUCCUACGGGAGGCAGCAGUGGGGAAUAUUGCACAAUGGGCGCAAGCCUGUUGCAGCCAUGCCGCGUGUAUGAAGAAGGCCUUCGGGUUGUAAAGUACUUUCAGCGGGGAGGAAGGGAGUAAAGUUAAUACCUUUACUCAUUGACGUUACCCGCAGAAGAAGCACCGGCUAACUCCGUG
rnacentral:rRNA from 1 species